rnacentral:rRNA from 1 species
UACGAAGGGGGCUAGCGUUGCUCGGAAUUACUGGGCGUAAAGCGCACGUAGGCGGUCUUUUAAGUCGGGGGUGAAAUCCUGGAGCUCAACUCCAGAACUGCCUUCGAUACUGGAAGACUUGAGUCCGGGAGAGGUGAGUGGAACUGCGAGUGUAGAGGUGAAAUUCGUAGAUAUUCGCAAGAACACCAGUGGCGAAGGCGGCUCACUGGCCCGGUACUGACGCUGAGGUGCGAAAGCGUGGGAGCAACAG